AUGAACGCUGGCGGCGUGCCUAAUACAUGCAAGUCGAGCGAACGGACGAGAAGCUUGCUUCUCUGAUGUUAGCGGCGGACGGGUGAGUAACACGUGGAUAACCUACCUAUAAGACUGGGAUAACUUCGGGAAACCGGAGCUAAUACCGGAUAAUAUUUUGAACCGCAUGGUUCAAAAGUGAAAGACGGUCUUGCUGUCACUUACAGAUGGAUCCGCGCUGCAUUAGCUAGUUGGUAAGGUAACGGCUUACCAAGGCAACGAUGCAUAGCCGACCUGAGAGGGUGAUCGGCCACACUGGAACUGAGACACGGUCCAGACUCCUACGGGAGGCAGCAGUAGGGAAUCUUCCGCAAUGGGCGAAAGCCUGACGGAGCAACGCCGCGUGAGUGAUGAAGGUCUUCGGAUCGUAAAACUCUGUUAUUAGGGAAGAACAUAUGUGUAAGUAACUGUGCACAUCUUGACGGUACCUAAUCAGAAAGCCACGGCUAACUACGUG
rnacentral:rRNA from 1 species